GCUGCCAUAGGAUAACAGGUCAUCCACUGGUCUUAGGAACCAGCAACUCUUGGUGCAAGUCCAAGUGGCGGCU
rnacentral:tRNA from 1 species